rnacentral:lncRNA from 1 species
CUCAUUUUUAUCUCAUCUAUCUUGAAAAGAGAACUAAAAUGUGAUGAAGGUGCUUUUAAUCUAGAAAAGCAAACCAAUUUUAAUGAAAUAUGAAUGAAUUUGUAUGUCUAGGCUCUUUUUAGACCAAUGCCUAUGCCAUCUUCCAUGCUUUCAAUUUGAAUUUUAAUACUUGUUUCUUAUUUCAAUUCCAGUGGUCCAUCAUACCAUAACUUAUUUCUUCUAGAAGAAAUAGCUAAUACAAAAAAAUGUAUAAUAGAGACUUUUGAAAAAAGAGACAGCUUUCCCCUCAUUCUCAUUCCUAUCUCCCUGAAGCACUUGAACAUAGCCAGUUACUACGUUUAUUUCAUGUGUGUGUUAGAGUUGUCCAUUUGGCCCCACAUGCCAAGAGAUGCACGUCAUAGGUCAAUGAGAAGAGAGCCUAUAUAAUCUGAGAAAAAUCAAGAAUAUAAUUUAGCCUUUUGUACAGGAAUAGAAAACAUGCCAUUUCGAAAGAAUCCUGCUUUAAAUAUCUGUCACUAUCUUUGAAUUCUCUUCCACAAGUCUCUUGCAAUUUUGAGCUCCCAUUAGCUUCAUAGAGCAUAUGUAGUCACCAAACAGAGAGGUGAUAUAUGGAGGGGAUCAAAAACCCUGCUUUUAGUUAGCAACUAGCUUUAGGUAAUUAUUUACUAAUGAGAACAAACUUUAUAAAUGUGUGCAUAUGCGUCUGUGUUUACUCGUAUCAUACAUGUAUACACAUGUUACCAUAUAGAAGGAAAUGGAUUUAUAUUUGAAUUUGAUAUUAGAAUAUUUGAAGUUCGUUUUUUGUUGU